GGCCGGUAUCGAAGUCAGAUGGUUCACUUCACCUUCGCUCCUUCUUCAACUUCUUUUCUUCCAUGGAUGUCUGCAUUUCACCUUUGGAUGCAUAAACAACUGAAUAAGGUCUUGGAUCCCAACAACGGUGCUGCACAAUUUCUAGAGGCCUCAGGAUGGGCGUCCAGAGUUGAAAUUAGAGGACAGAAAAUAUUAGCGUAGCUGCUGUUUAUUAUGUAUUUAAACAAGAGAUAUCAAUCACAAUGUAAAAAUGAAGUGCUAUUAAAAAAAAUAUGAACAAACA
ensembl:processed_transcript